rnacentral:rRNA from 1 species
GACAGGUGGUGCAUGGUUGUCGUCAGCUCGUGUCGUGAGAUGUUGGGUUAAGUCCCGCAACGAGCGCAACCCUUAUUGUUAGUUGCCAUCAUUAAGUUGGGCACUCUAACGAGACUGCCCGGGAUUAAACCCGGGAGGAAGGUGGGGAUGACGUCAAAUCAUCAUGCCCCUUAUGUCUAGGGCUACACACGUGCUACAAUGGUCAGGUACAAUAAGACGCAAGCCCGCGAGGGGGAGCAAAUACUGUGAAAACCUGGAUCUCAGUUCGGAUUUGUAAGGCUGAAACUCCCCUAGCAUGAAAGCUGGAGUUCGCUAAUAAUCGCGAAUCAACAUGUCGCGGUGAAUACGUUCCCGGGUCUUGUACAC